UGCACUACCUUGGUUUCUGUGGAGCCAAAACUAAUGGUUGAAACACAAAAUCAUGUGAUGAAGGCAACGCUUGGGUUCUUUGCUUUGCCUAAUGAUUCGGUAGAUGUUGUCAAUCCCCUUGUUGACAACCUUAUCACUCUCUUAUGUGCAAUUCUUCUCACAAGUGGAGAGGAUGGGAGAAGUCGAGCAGAGCAGCUAUUGCAUAUGUUGAGACAAAUUGAUUAGUAUGUUUCUUCACAAGUGGAGUAUCAAAGGAGAAGAGGUUGUCGGGCAGUUUAUGAGAUGCUUCUCAAGUUUAGGACGGUUUGCAUCAGUGGAUAUUGUGCGCUUGGCUGCCGUGGAAGUUGAACGCAUAGCAAGCAAGUUGGCCAUACUGUGCAUGGGAAUUUUGCCAACUUACCAUGUUUUGGCCAGAGAUUGAGAAGGUGGGGCUGACAAUUGGGUUGUGAAAUGCGAAUGUGGCGCUCAAGAUGAUGAUGGGGAGAGGAUGGUGGAAUUGGGGGGCCGACGAGGCUAGGGCCCCAUUUUCCAGCAAUGACCGGUCAAGGUCAAUCAAAGUGGGGAUUCACAGAUGAUUCUCAGCAUAGAAAAGAUCUUAACAAGUCUGAUCACCAUUUAUAGAAGGAUUGAACGGCGAAUUGAUCAUCGACUCAAGCACGUAUUGCCAGCUACUACCAAGUGCAUAUCGCGAAAGGAGACAAGCCAAAGACGACCUGUGUGACAAGCAAGCAUUGAAAGCUCUGCGUAGCGUUCUUAUUCUUAAUGAACAGUAUUACACAACCGGGUGGAGGACUCAUGUAAAACUUCUUCCUUUAGGUCCCCGUUCAGGAGUACGAGAACAAGGACACUGGGUACAAGGAAUAAAACAAUUCAAUCAUUUUCUAUUGUGCUCAUGGUCAAUUUCAUGUGAAAUUGGUGACUUGGCAAUGAAAACUGAUAGGACAGAUGAUUUCUUCUCUUUCCACUACAUCUAUUCAAGCAUCAAUUUUCUUCUUUGGGGCUAUAGAGAGUCAGGGUUUUGCACUUACCAUCACUCCAGCCUAGAAGUGGUUUAUAUGAUGGAGAUGGGAGCUAAAAUUAGAAAUGAAGUUCAUGCUUAUGGUUAAUUUCAUGCGAAAAUGGUGACUUGGCAAUGAAAAAUGAUAGAAAAGAUGACUCCUGUUUCCAUUUCUUUGGGUACAUAAAGAGUCAGGGUUUUGCACUUUUGAUCACUCUAGCCUAGAAGUGAUUUACAUGAUGGAGAUGGAACUGAAAUAAGAAAUGAAGGGUUUGCAGGAAAGAUGCUAUAAAUUCUAAUUUCUUUACAUCUCUGAGAAUAUGUUAUUUAUGAUUUUUGUGCUUCAAUUUACCUUCCAAAUGAAA